rnacentral:lncRNA from 1 species
CUCCUCCCGGGUGCCAUAAGCAUCUCUUCGAAACCAUCAUCAUCGUGGAACCAGAAACAAGGGAUGUCUCAUUUUCCAGCAGUUUUAUCUCUUGUAUUUUUUCAUGUUUUUUUCUGUUUUAUUUUGUGCUUUGAGAUGACAGCGAUUUCCGACUGUUUUGUACUUUGAAAUGACAUGUUAUAUGAAUGUAUGUAAACAAUUUACAUGUUAAUCAUUGCAUGAAGACAACG